ACUGACUCUGGGGAAGAAUAUACUAGAAGGGCCCAGAGUAGACGCAGCAUGCCACUCACAACAGGAAAAGGUGGAAACAGGCCAAACGUCCAGUCGUGGAUGAAAGUAGACGCAGUGAAGGGGCUAUCACAAUCUUCCAGGUGGAAUCCCCCAUUGCUGGACACAGCUGGUAAGUCAUGGUGAAGACACGUCUCAGCACUGGGCGCGCACACGACACCUUUCAAGACAACGUACUUUUACUGCUGCACUCGGGGACAGCCCCUCAGAACCCAGAGUUCAUCAACUCCACGGACUCUUGGGGUAGUGCACAAGGUCCCAAGCUCACCUCCGGGGUCUUUCUCAUGAGACCACAGCAGCAUGGACUGCGGUUCAAACAGAAGGCUCUUCCCAACCUGACUGUAAAGCUGCACCUGCAUGAAGUUCAGGUCUGGAGAUGCCAGCUCACACGUGGCAUCUAAAUGCUGUGCUCGGAACUCCGAAGAGGGGACCCCCACCCACCCAGUAUUUACGCUGGGUCUGUAACUUACACAGAAGGGCUUGUUGCUUGACAAUUUAGAUAAAAAUGUUACUGCCUCUGCAUGUGCUGCAAUCUCACGGUGUAAACCACUGGAGCAGCUAAUGGAGUCUUCACACAUCAUAUCUUGUUAAAGAAGAGGGCCCUCCGCUAUCGGAUUCACAGCCCAGCAGCAAAGUGCAGCCACACCUGGGAAGGCAGCUUAGCUGGCCUGGGCCUGGCCACAACUCAUCAGCUCUGACCAACUAUCCUAUGCCUCAUUUUUUUUUUUAGUGGAAAAUAUGAACUUCAUUUUCAAAUAGCAAGGUCCCUAGUCCCCCAAUGGUAGGACAAAAACUAGACAGUUACACAGAAAACAUAUCUCUAUCUACCCUGACCAAUAAGCUAUCUACCACUAUGAGUCCUUUAAACACCUUUACACACUUGUCCAUGUUUCUUAAAGUAACUGAGAAAAACAUCGCGCUAAGGGCAUUAAUGAGAAAUUCACGGUUGGGCCCUGAAAGACAGGAUUCCGCUGCUGGCGUACUGCUAACAGACCUGGAUAACGGGGUCAUCUGUUCAUUUUACUAUCUAGUUCAUCAUCCACAUGUGCACUUUUAAUUGAAACUUAACUUUUAUAUCCGAUGUUCCAGCACAGAAAACAUCUCUGGAGGUGGAGGUGGUAUAAGCGUUUCCCUAAGCGACUCUCUAAAAGAAUUCUACCUUCAAUUUUCUGUUGAGUUAAAUAAACAAACUGUGACGCA